AGGUCUGUGAUGCCCUUAGAUGUUCUGGGCCGCACGCGCGCUACAAUGAAGGUAUCAGCGUGUCCUCCCUGGCCGAAAGGUCCGGGUAACCCGCUGAAACACCUUCGUGCUUGGGAUUGGGGCUUGAAAUUGUUCCCCAUGAACGAGGAAUUCCCAGUAAAGGCGUGUCAUUAGCACGCCUUGAUUACGUCCCUGCCCUUUGUACACACCGCCCGUCGCUCCUACCGAUUGAAUGGUCCGGUGAAGUGUUCGGAUCGC
rnacentral:ncRNA from 1 species